rnacentral:rRNA from 1 species
UACGGAGGGUGCAAGCGUUGCUCGGAAUUAUUGGGCGUAAAGGGUAGGUAGGUGGUCUCAUUUGUCUGGGGUGAAAGCCUUGGGCUUAACUCAAGAAGUGCCCCAGAAACGGUGAGACUGGAGUCCUGGAGAGGGUCGUGGAAUUCCCGGUGUAGCGGUGAAAUGCGUAGAGAUCGGGAGGAACACCAGAGGCGAAAGCGGCGACCUGGACAGGUACUGACACUCAACUACGAAAGCGUGGGGAGCAAACAGG